AGCCACCGUGCCCGGCCUACAAAGUAUCUUAAAAAUUAAAAAUAACAAAAUAAUACAUAGAUCUAACAACAUACUGAAAAAACAAAUAUACUCUCAAGGCAUGAACUUUAUUGUUUUUGCUAUUUUUAUUAUAGAGUAUCUGUCUCUUGGCUUCCUGAGAAUCUGUCGUGAUUAAAUAGUGAAUGAAAGAAACUGAAUGGUAUGUAAUUGGCUUUUUCAAAUAAAGCUAAUUAGAAGUAAAGUAGCCACGUAGCAAUGGAUGAACAUUGUAAUUAAAAAGAAUUGCACAGAUAAUCUUAUGAAAAUUGCAGAGAUAAGGGUAGAUAUUUAUUGUUGAUGAAAUAAUAAGCCAGGGCUGAAUUUCAGUUUUUGAGUCUCAUAAGAGUAAUAUAGUUCUAAACAAAAUAUUUCUCUUUUAGCAUUUUAAAAGUUAUUAUGCAAAUAUACAUAUAAAUAAUAUUAAUUAAAUUAUUUAUAAUUAUUAGUAAUUUGCUUUAUUGAGUAGGUGUACAAAAUGAUUUUCAUCAAUUAAAAAAGCAUGCAAGGAAUUGAUUUUUCAAAACAACUAAAAUUCUACUCAAGCUAAUAGCUUCCAUUUAAUACCAUGAAUACCUAGAAAUAUUUUCUCCUCAGCUUUUUGACUCUGCAUGACAGAUAGCUUUGUCAAUUUAACUUUUUCGACACACAUUUUCGAUGUCGUGACACUACUCUCUGAGGGCUAAACUAUGUGGAGAUAAGUUAUUUUAGAAUAUUUAAAAGAUACCUUAAAAUCACAAUAUUGCCUUUUUAAAAUAGUUUAUUGAAGGCAUCUUAAAAAUGAUAAGGCACUAAAUUUGCAUUGUAUUUUAGCCUAAGUAUUAGCUUUAGAAAGUUCUUGGGCUAGGAGGCUGAUCACCUCACACAUCCUGGAAAUAUUUAAUUAGCUCCUCUCCACCACACCCCUAAGAGCAAUUCCUUACCAUUCUAAAUGCACAGAUGCAACUUGGAAAUGCACAAGAAGAAAAGAUAGGGCAUAAAGGCUUCUUUGCUGGGCACCUCUAACAUGAGGAUCUCAAGUGCCAAGGGCCUAGUUUUGAUAAUAUGGGAAGAAAUAGAAGAGAGUAAGUGUAUUUCAUCUCUAGACACCUCUUGCUCACUGUUGCCGGGAAAUGUUACAGACUUUGCAUCAUUUGUCUGUAUGUGUCAUUUCAUUCAUUUUAAAACUCCCUUUAACAGAUCUAAUUUUUUUAAUUGAGAGGUAAAAAGUGGAUAUAUUUUCAGUGUACUUAUCUGAUUUUUUAAAACGUGUAAACAUGACUAUCAAUAAUGUAGUAAACAUUGACUCUUUUCUUCUUAUAUAUUCAUAUACCUAAUACUUCCUAGUAAUGUUCUAGUUCAGUUUUUAACUUUUUCUCUUAUUAUUUUGUCUUUUGUUGAUACUUUAUACUUUCAUAUUACUUUAUCUAUUAAAAUAUAUUUAAAAUUUAUUCAUUUAAAAAUCGUAUUAUAUAAUUUAAGCACAAUAUAAUAUUUAACAAAGUAAUAAAAUUGAUUCAUAAUAAUUAUCUUAUCAAAUUUAAAGAAAGAGGCUAUAUAUAAGAAAACAGUACAUAUUCUAUAUGAGAAAGGCAGGGCUUGCUCUUGCUCAAGGCCUGUUUCUAGGCCAUGAGACAUCUUUCUAUAAAUUAGAAAAAUGGUUCUUUUUAUGGAUGGAUCCAGCUCUGCAACUAGAAAUCUUAAUGAAUAGAUAGCGCUUUAUGUGCAGGAAAAUGGUACUGGAUGCAUGACUUGAAGUACAGCACACAAGCUUCAUUCCAUCUCCUUUACUCCCCUUGGUCAGGAACCUCAUUGUGCCCAGAAUUGGUUCCUUCCGGUGGGUUCUUUGUCUCGCUGACUUCAAGAAUGAAGCUGUGGAUCCUCGUGGUGAGUGUUACAGUUCUUAGAGAUGGUGUGUCUGGAGUUUGUUCCUUCAGACGUUCAGAUGUGUCCAGAGUUCCUUCCUUUGGGUGUGUUCAUGGUCUUGCUGACUUCAGGAAUGAAACCACAGACCUUCACAGUGAGUGUUACAGCUCUUAAAGGUGGCAUGUCUGAAGUUGUUUGUUCCCCCCCUGGGUGGGUUCGUGGUCUGACUUCAGGAGUGAAGCUGCAUACCUUCACAGUGAGUGUUACAGCUCAUAAAGGUAGUACAGAUCCAAAGAGGGAGCAAAAUGUACUGUGAAGAGUGAAAGAACAAAGCUUCCACAGCGUGGAAGGGGACCGGAGUGGGUUGCCACUCCUGGCUCUGGUGGCCAGCUUUUAUUCCCUUAUUUGGCCCUGCCCACAUCCUGCUGAUUGGUCCAUUUUACAGAGUGCUGAUUGGUCCAUUUCACAGAGUGCUGAUUGGUUCAUUUUACAGAGUGCUGAUUGUUGAGUUUACAAUCCUUUAGCUAGACACAGAGCACUGAUUGGUGUGUUUUUACAGAGUGCUGACUGCUGCAUUUACAAUCCUCUAGCUAGACAGAAAAGUCUGGAAGUCCCCACUCGACCCAGGAAGUCCAGCUGGCUUCACCUCUCACCAUUUCUCAUUUCUCCAUUGAAAUAUUUCAAAAUGCCCUGUCCUGUAGCUGCCUGUGAGGUUGUAAACAUCAAUUCAAUAACAUUUAUAAAGAACUUACAAUGUAGAGGCCUUAUGCCAAAGUGUCUUUCAUAUUUAACAACCCAGGCAACAACAGCAACAUCAUCAAGAAUAAAUAUUAUCAUUUACUCUUAAUCCUUUCUAGGUAAUGCCCCACUUCUUUUGAUCAUGCCUGACAUAUAGAAAAAAAAAAUGUGACUCUCUAAAUUCCAAUUCUUUUCUGCUCUCAGUGCUAUAUGUACAACCCAGCUAAUCUCCAAAGUUUAUAUCCAAAGUUCACAUUUCAUUCUUUAUUUGCUUCGAUCACUUAGAAUUUUGAUAAUAACAUUCUCUUAUGAAAUGCUUUUCUUUGUUGCCAUGACACUAGUCUCUCUGAGUCUUCUUUAUAUGAUGAAACUUUACUACCCAUGAUCCAACAGACUAAUUUUCCUUUACUUACGUUUAAAUCAUUUUUGCACUAGGUUAUUUCUUAAACCCUCUUGCCUCUUCAUAUUCGUGUUCUCUUCUUGUGUACUCCAAAAAGAAUGUCAAUAAUCAUGAGCACAGAGAAAACCCUGUUUUCUCUCUUUGCACAUUUCAAAAAGAGUAAGAACAAUCAGGCAUGCUAUAGUAAUUUUGUGUUUAUUGGUUAAUAUUUGAAGUGUUUAAUAAGAAUUAUUUAAAAUGGUUACUCCCAUCGGUAUGUCUUUAUGGUUAUCUAUAGGAAUUAUACUAACCAUGAAGGUUUUAUACAAGGAUACAAUUCUCUACUUUUUAAUGAGUUCUUGUCUUUCCUAACAGUUGUAUUGGCAGUGAUUAAUUUUAGUUUAUUUCCCAUAUUAAAUAUAGAUUGUGCAUUUCAAAAGAGAAAUGCUUAGUAUCUCAAAUGUUGGCCACUCACCCUUAGGUACUCAUUUAUUUUCUGCUUCUGCAGAUUACUGAAUUGGCUAAUUACUUCAAAGCACUAUGUCAAGAAUUCAUUUCUGUUAAAUGCUGAUAAUGUCUGAGUAGCAAUAAGCGUUUAUCUACAAGAUGUUUUUGUAGAAUCAAAAUGCCCUAUAUGUGUCAUUUCAUAACAAAUAAAAGAAAAAAAAUAAAAUCCCAAAGCUCUUAGUGAUAGUAUAAGUUCCUCUGUCUACAGUGGCCUUGAUUAUGACAGCAUGGAUUAACAAUCACCAAAGCCAGAUAUAAAUUAUAAUUGAUGAAAUAAAGACAGCUGGUUCAUGAAUAUAAGAACAUAAGAGUUGGGCAUUGACUGAUUGGAGUGACAUUUUUUGGAUUAAAAAAUUUAUAAAAUUUUUAUUUUUUCUUUGCUUCAGAGAACAGAGAAAAACUGUUUUCUGAAAAGCAAUUCUGCAAAAACAUUGACAUUAACAAAAAACACACCUGCUUGGAAAAGAGGAUAACAUGUUGGACAAUGGUUAAAUUAUAUUUACUUUGAUAUGUCUCUGGAGGUUAAAUCAAUACCUGUAUGAAGCUUGAAGUUCACAUUUAUUAUGGAGGGCACUUGUAAAAGUGUAUCUGAAGCCUGUAAGAGCCAGAAGGACUCAGUCAUAUGCUGCCUUCUGUGCCUGAUGUUUUCUUUUGAACUAGGGAGAGACGUGAACAUACAGUCUGUUAUUGUAGUUUAUGCACAAAGACUCAAAUAAGAAAGAUGUGGGUGUAUGUAUAAGAAAAGGUUUAGAAAACUUGGCAUAUUUUCUAUGAAUGUUAAGAACUUGUAUUACUGUAAUUCUGUAAGUCUAAAUGCAAUCGAAGGACACAAACAUCUCUAUGUAUAAUGAGAUUAACUGAAACAUAAUUGAACAAAACUGGAA
rnacentral:lncRNA from 10 species